rnacentral:rRNA from 1 species
GUUUGAUCCUGGCUCAGAACGAACGCUGGCGGCGUGGAUAAGACAUGCAAGUCGAGCGCUGAUUACGGGGUAGCAAUAUUCCGUGGUCGGAGCGGCGCAAGGGUGCGUAACACGUGGGUAAUCUGCCAUGAAGUUUGGAAUAACUCGCUGAAAGGCGAGCUAAUGCCGGAUGUGAAAGCUGGGAGGCAUCUCCCGGUUUUCAAAGCUGGGGACCGUAAGGCCUGGCGCUUCAUGAUGAGCCCGCGGCCUAUCAGCUAGUUGGUAAGGUAACGGCUUACCAAGGCUAAGACGGGUAGCUGGUCUGAGAGGACGACCAGCCACACUGGAACUGAGACACGGUCCAGACACCUACGGGUGGCAGCAGUCGAGAAUUUUUCACAAUGGGCGCAAGCCUGAUGGAGCGACGCCGCGUGGGGGAUGAAUGGCUUCGGCCCGUAAACCCCUGUCAUUUGCGAUCAACCGUUGUUGUUUAAGAGAUGACAACCUGAUAGUAGCGAAAGAGGAAGGGACGGCUAACUCUGUGCCAGCAGCCGCGGUAAUACAGAGGUCCCAAGCGUUGUUCGGAUUUACUGGGCGUAAGGGGUGCGUAGGUGGCGGGGUAAGUCGGAUGUGAAAUCUCCGAGCUCAACUCGGAAAUGGCAUUGGAAACUGCUCUGCUCGAGGGUUGGAGGGGGGACUGGAAUACUUGGUGUAGCAGUGAAAUGCGUAGAUAUCAAGUGGAACACCAGUGGCGAAGGCGAGUCCCUGGACAACUCCUUACACUGAGGCACGAAAGCUAGGGGAGCAAACAGGAUUAGAUACCCUGGUAGACCUAGCCGUAAACGGUGCACGUUUGCUGUAAAAGGAAUCGACCCCUUUUGUGGCGUAGCCAACGCGUUAA